rnacentral:lncRNA from 1 species
GAAAGGAGCAGAAGUAAUAUGUAAUAGUUGUCUAAUGACUAUUGCAUGCGUAGUAUCUAGUAUGGAUGGAAAACCAGAGGAUUUUUGAAAUUUAAUGUGGAUGAAGCGAAGGGGUUAUGUGAUGUAAUUUUCUUUUGGGCAUCAUUGAAGAGAAGAUGAGAGGUGGGGUUGCUUGGUGCUUGCGCUAAGCAAGGCGGUCGAAGAAGGCUGCAAGUGGAAGCAACUGUAUAUGACCCCCUCUUCCCCUUCCACCAACUGCUACGCUUGCAGAGGACGCCAUUGCCAUUGCUAAGUCUUGGUUGCUUUUAAUCAUUGUGGGCUUCAAUUUCAUCAGAGAUGUACCAAUUUUUCUUAUAGAGGCGUAUUAGAAGGCGGUUAUCUUUUGAGUUUUCUCCUGUUUAGGUUAGUUUCUUUUGCAUUUUAUGUGAGAUUCUUUUGCAAUGUAUUUUGAUGUUCAUAGUUGCUGGUUGGUUAUUUGUAUGUGUUCCAAACUCCAGUGGGCUUCUUGUACACUAUGGUUGUACUUUCAUGUAUAGCAUUUUAAUAAAAUGUUUGUG